rnacentral:rRNA from 1 species
CACGAAGAGGGCUAGCGUUGUUCGGAAUUACUGGGCGUAAAGCGUGCGUAGGCGGGGGACUAAGUCAGGUGUGAAAUCCCGGGGCUCAACCUCGGAACUGAAUUUGAUACUAGUUGCCUAGAGACCGGGAGAGGUGAGCGGAAUACCGAGUGUAGAGGUGAAAUUCGUAGAUAUUCGGUGGAACACCAGUGGCGAAGGCGGCUCACUGGACCGGUACUGACGCUGAGGCACGAAAGCGUCGGGAGCAAACAGG